rnacentral:rRNA from 1 species
ACGGAGGAUGCGAGCGUUAUCCGGAUUUAUUGGGUUUAAAGGGUGCGUAGGCGGAUAGAUAAGUCAGUGGUGAAAACCUGCAGCUUAACUGUAGACUUGCCGUUGAUACUGUCAGUCUUGAGUAUGGUCAAGGUAGGCGGAAUGUGUAAUGUAGGGGUCAAAUUCUUAGAUAAUACUCUGACCAUUCAUUGCGAAGGCAUCUUAUUGGACAAUUGCUAAAGCUGAUGCACGAAACCGUAGGGAUCGACCAU